rnacentral:sRNA from 1 species
GGCUUGCCUGGGUCUCCAGCUUGCAGAUGGCAGAUCGUGGGACUUCAUGGGACUUCUCAGACUCCAUAACCAAGGCUGAGGAGCUACAGUCUAAAUGCAUAUGCAUGUUUGGAACCGAAGUCAGCCAUCUUCCCUAGGACAAAUCUUUACUCUUCUAAAGAAGGACAAGAAUAAGGUCUACUUUCAGCUAACCAUUUAUAAGGUUCAGUUUUCAUUGGAUCAAAGGAAUAUAAUCUAAUACUUUUUAAAUGGGGUCAAAACAGUAUUAUAAGGAAACUAUUUACUGCAAAUAUUUAUAAUUGUGUAAGGAGAAUCAUUCUUUUUAAAAUCAAGUUGUGUUUUAGCUUUAGAAGUCUUUACUGGAUCUUUUAAAAUCACAAGUAUUUGAGAAUCCAUCCCCACAAAAAUUAAAAAAUACUAUAUUAGUUAUUUUAAACAGUAUUCAUUACUUUUACUGUUUAUGUUAUAAUAAACUUAUGUAUAUAAACAUUUGAAUAUGCAUGGUACAAAGUACAAGUACAGAACAUGUAGUAAGUAGUAUGUGCAUGUGUGUGUGUGUGUGUGUGUGUGCAUAUCGUAUAAAAAUAUGAGAAAAAUUUUACUUAUAUAAAAACAUAUAUAUAAAUAAGUGUUCAGGAGAGUUUUUGAGAAUCUGCUUUACAUACUGCAAUUUUGAAUGAAAAUUAUGGAUAUUAAUUUCCUGAUUAAAGGAACUCUGUGUCUUCUCAUGAUGAGUCCUAAAAAUAAGCCAAAAUACUACUUAAUCUCCAUCACUUUUUUUCUUAA